rnacentral:rRNA from 1 species
GACUUAGGGCGCGAGCGUUGUCCGGAUUUAUUGGGCGUAAAGAGCUCGUAGGCGGCUUGUCGCGUCGACUGUGAAAACCCGCGGCUCAACCGUGUGGCUUGCAGUUGAUACGGGCAGGCUAGAGUUCGGUAGGGGAGACUGGAAUUCCUGGUGUAGCGGUGAAAUGCGCAGAUAUCAGGAGGAACACCGGUGGCGAAGGCGGGUCUCUGGGCCGAUACUGACGCUGAGGAGCGAAAGCGUGGGGAGCGAACAGG